GAUCCUGCCAGUAGUCAUAUGCUUGUCUCAAAGAUUAAGCCAUGCAUGUCUAAGUCCAAGCUGUGUUUACACGGCGAGACCGCGGACGGCUCAUUAAAUCAGUCGUUGUCCAAAUGGGCCAGUACUAAUUACUUGGAUAACUGUGGUAAUUCCAGAGCUAAUACAUGCAACUUAUACCCUGAUGCUUCGCCUCGGUGUCGCUGACGGGUGCUUUUAUUAGACCAAACCGCUGGGGCUCUCUCUGAGAGCCUGAUUUGCUAUGUGGUGACUCUGGAUAACCUUUUGAUGACAAGCGCACGUACCUCUCGUAGGACGGCGCUGCCACUUUCGAGUGUCUGCCUUAUCAGCUGUCAACCGCUCGCUAUACGCGACCGAUGGCUUUGACGGGUAACGGGGAAUCAGGGUUCGAUUCCGGAGAGGCAGCCUGAGAGACGGCUACCACGUCCAAGGACGGCAGCAGGCACGCAAAUUACCCAAUCCCAGCACAUUCUGGGGGAGGUAGUGACGAAACAUAACGAAGCGUGCGCCCUUCACGGGUCUCGCUAUCGGAAUGAGCACUUUUCUAAACACCCUGUUGAGAACCUACUGAAGGGCAAGUCUGGUGCCAGCAGCCGCG
rnacentral:rRNA from 1 species